GACGAACGCUGGCGGCGUGCCUAACACAUGCAAGUCGAACGGAGUUUCCAGCAAUGGAUUCUUAGUGGCGAACGGGUGAGUAAUGCGUAGACAACCUACCUUCGAGAUGCGGACAACACUGCGACAGUGGUGCUAAUACCGAAUGUUGUAACGAGCGUGCAUAUGCUUGUUACUAAAGAUGGCCUCUAUUUAUAAGCUAUCGCUAGAAGAUGGGUCUGCGUCUGGUUAGCUAGUUGGUGAGGUAAUGGCUCACCAAGGCGACGAUCAGUAGCCGGUCUGAGAGGAUGAACGGCCACACUGGGACUGAGACACGGCCCAGACUCCUACGGGAGGCAGCAGUGGGGAAUCUUCCGCAAUGGACGAAAGUCUGACGGAGCAACGCCGCGUGAGUGAAGAAGGUUUUCGGAUCGUAAAACUCUGUUUUCAGGGACGAAUGUGCAGCUUGUAAAUAAUGAGUUGUAAUGACGGUACCUGAGUAGAAAGCCACGGCUAACUACGUGCCAGCAGCCGCAGUAA
rnacentral:rRNA from 1 species